UCCCUGAUGGCCCAGUGGCUAAGACUCUACACUCUCAAUGCAGAGGACCUGGGUUCAAUCCCUGGUCAGAGAA
rnacentral:tRNA from 1 species